GAGCUUGCUUCAUUGCCGGCGACCGGCGCACGGGUGAGUAACGCGUAUCCAACCUUCCGCUGGCUCGGGGAUAGCCUUUCGAAAGAAAGAUUACCACCCGAUGGUAUGAUGAGAUUGCAUGAUAGCAUCAUUAAAGAUUUAUUGGUAAGCGAUGGGGAUGCGUUCCAUUAGGUAGUAGGCGGGGUAAUGGCCCACCUAGCCAACGAUGGAUAGGGGUUCUGAGAGGAAGGUCCCCCACAUUGGAACUGAGACACGGUCCAAACUCCUACGGGAGGCAGCAGUGAGGAAUAUUGGUCAAUGGACGAGAGUCUGAACCAGCCAAGUAGCGUGAAGGAUGAAGGUCCUACGGAUUGUAAACUUCUUUUAUAAGGGAAUAAAACCUCCCACGUGUGGGAGCUUGUAUGUACCUUAUGAAUAAGCAUCGGCUAACUCCGUGCCAGCAGCCGCGGUAAUACGGAGGAUGCGAGCGUUAUCCGGAUUUAUUGGGUUUAAAGGGAGCGCAGACGGGUCGUUAAGUCAGCUGUGAAAGUUUGGGGCUCAACCUUAAAAUUGCAGUUGAUACUGGCGUCCUUGAGUGCGGUUGAGGUGUGCGGAAUUCGUGGUGUAGCGGUGAAAUGCUUAGAUAUCACGAAGAACUCCGAUUG
rnacentral:rRNA from 1 species